rnacentral:rRNA from 1 species
ACGCUCGACACCUACGGGAGCAGCGGUGGGGAAUAUUGCACAAUGGGGGAAACCCUGAUGCAGCGACGCCGCGUGAGCGAAGAAGUAUCUCGGUAUGUAAAGCUCUAUCAGCAGGGAAGAAGAUGACGGUACCUGACUAAGAAGCACCGGCUAAAUACGUGCCAGCAGCCGCGGUAAUCUGAGCGGGCUGGCAAGGC